GGUAUGAAACGGUAUGCCCUAAAAAGAGCACCAGAUUCCUAAUCUGGGGGUCGCGCGUUCGAAUCGCGCCGGGAUCACCA
rnacentral:tRNA from 1 species